UUCGGAUAUACAGGGCUGAGUUCAAAAAUUUCAUUUAAAUAGUAAUUAAAUUUUGAAGAAAUCAAAACAGACGGAAGAUAAACUGUGCAGAUGUCCGCGGCACAGUCUAAUCUAAACUACGUAGACAGACAAACAGCUUUCUUUAACCUUUCGAUAAAAUAUUUUCCAUGUAAAAUCUUUUCCUGAUAACGGAGGUCAAGAUCUCCGACAUGGCAAAUGAACGAAGCAACGGAGAGAAUGUUUCACUCGGGGAAGAAGCGUGGAAUUUUUCAGCGAUCCGACAGUUUAUGAAUGGCAAGUGCAUGUCAGUGGCAGCGCGUACGACGGUCACGCACGUGCGUGGCCAUGUGUAGCAACGCGAAACGUUUAACAUUGCGUCGCGGCAUCGCGCUGCGUGUAUUGUACUUGGCCCAGGCCACGCAAUCGCAAUCGCCGUGUUAUGCAAUUCCUAGGGAUGGAAACAAACAAUAUCGCGGGCCGUGCGAUCGAUAACGCUGCAUUUUGCACGAAGGUCUGUCGCACGUGCAUGAUUUAUCGGGCCGGCUCGCUGGAUUUCGACGAUAGUGAAAACCCGACGGUGAACAACGUUCGAAAUUGCGAGGCAAAGGCUACAGAAUCCGGAAGUUCAAGGAACAUUUUCUUGAAUUCGACACUCAAUGGUCAAGCAAUUGGAGACGGAUGGAAUUUUACGUAAAGGGGAUACGAUACUGCUUCCACCCGUGACAAAACGUCCGCUAUUAGUUUUCUACACCGAAGGUCCACGCUACCUCGAAGUUCGUUGCACCAGCUCUACGUUUCCACGGAGGAGAGUUUCCUGUUUCGCCGUUUUCCUUGGCAAGAACGAAGUGACCCGAGGUAUUCGGCAAAUACCGUCGAUCAACAGUAAUAAACACGGCGGCGAGUGAUAUGCACAUUUUCCGCUAUGAUUACGAGCUAGUUACGAAAGCCUCUGUAUCAGCGCGAGCGUGUUUCGCGUUGGUGACAAUUCAAGAAGUUCAAGAUCGCGUAAAAUAAAGAACAAAAGAAAAUGUCCCAUUAUCACGAGCGAAAGUCGUGGAUUUGUGUAUCAAAUUUUAAUUUCUGGUAUCUAGCAAAAUUGUUUGAGAAACUUUUUGAAUUUUGUUGCGAAAAGUUUCAAGAAUUGUUUAAAUAUUUUCUCGUCGCUAUGCCAUCUAGAUUCUGCAAUUUUACGAGGAAAUUUAAAGAGGUUUAAUACUCAUUGUUGUUGGAAACAAUUUUGUUUGUCUUUCUGAAGCAACUGGUAAUUGGUAAGUUCUAUAAAGCGGAUGCCAAUGGAACAUUCUUCUGUCCUCGAUUGACUAGUGUGCUAUGUGAGGAGAACUAUUCUAUUUGGUAAAUGGUCUAAGGCUUUUGCAACGCGUGGCACGCGCCUGUUAUGCAAAUGCAAUUCUCUAAAGAACAUUGGAAGAAUUCUGGUUUUGCAACUCAGAAAUGCCUGCACCUUUGUGUCCACGCGUCUCGAAUGGCAUUCGACGCUUUUUCUCAAGCAAGUGUUCACGGUGUUCAACGGGCGAGAUGUUUCUUUGAAUUGUCGACUGAUGGUCGAGCUAUUAAUGCCCGUGGUAUUAAGGAAUAGACUAACUGACCUGUUGGAGGAAGAAAGGUGUUGCCUUUACAAGGUUGCGCUUGUCAGUUAGGUGAAAGCUAAUUGAUCCUUGUAUCAAGAUUACAAUUAUCUGUGGGAGACUUGGAAUGCAACUAUAUUCCAACUACUUUAAUUUAAAUUCGAGCAGUAAUUGAUUCGUUCAAUAUUUAGAAAGAAGUUUCGAAUUACAGAAUCACAAAAUCACAGAAAUAUCGCAUACAUUUAGAAAACAUUUAUAAUCUUCCAGCAUAAUUUCCCUACGCGUCGAGAAAAAUAUUUAUCGCGUAACACAUAUACACACACGCACAGACAUACGGCCAACGCUGUGGGACAAAGUCUUUCGAACGAGCAUAAUCAGAAGGAGCUACGCAGGGAAAAAAGCCACCUUUGUAUCACAUUAACCUUUCCUCUGGAACCGAGUCAAUUAGUUUCUAGAAAUCGACGAACACCUCACGUUGGGGGGAAUCGAGCGUCAGACGAACGAACACGGAAAUAAGCCGGGGAAACCGUCGAUCAUUCCAUUGCAUUGAAAGACGCCGGGGGAAACUCGGCGAAGCCGGAGGAAAUAUUAAUGAGAAAGAAAUAGCGUUUGCCGGCGUGUAAUUAGCAGCAUAAAGACGGUGGCGACAAAACAGACGCAAAGCGAAGAAAAAAAAAAAAAAAAAAGGAAAAAGAAGAAGAAGAAACAGAAAACGCGAGAAAACAAGUCGAACUCUGUUCCUUUGCACGCGCGGAACCGUCGAUAAUCUUAUCGCGUCUCUGGAAAACUCGCUAUUUGCAAUUUAAACGCGCCGAUCGGUUCGUUUCGGUUUUUCAAAUGGAAUUUUUGGCAGUGCAAUUUAUCUGAGAAGUUAUAAAAUAUUGAGUUGUUUAUUACAAGUUAUAAGAAUAGUCUUUGAAGUCGAGAAACAUUUGAAGCUGUUUUCUAUAAUAUCUGGUACGUAAAGUAAUUUUCUACUAUUUCUUUUAGAGAUUACAAACAUUUUACGCGUUAGGUUUCUGCGAUGAAUUAUUACGAUACACUUGCAGAAAAAAUACGAGAAAUGAUUGAUCUUUCUAAUUUAAAUAUUUUUUUGAGGUUCUUUUUACAGAAGAAGUUUUACUUCGUAAACAAGCGACUGUAUCGUGUGUGUUUUCUACGGUGACCAUGGUCUCGCGACGACCAUGACCGAACAGAUGCUCGCGCGUGUACGCACUUGAUCUGCUUAGAAAUUUUAUCCGAUCCGUCAGAGGUUGCGUCAGAAGACGCGCGAUACCCGUACAGAAGUGGACAAACUCGCCUCGAAGGUUUGUUUGCCACGACUUCGACUCCCUGGGACUUCAUAAAAUUACAAAACAGACAUUUCCUUCACGCUCCGAGAAUUUGACUUCGAUCGAUUAUUUUCACAUUUUCUGCUCUCAGUGUCUGUCACGUGGCUCGGCAUCGACUGAAUCAUUUCCUCAAACGUAAAGUUCGAAAAAUUUCACGGAAAAAGAGAUUCUCUCAAUGUGAAAUUCCUAAGAACGUUUCUUACUUCUCAUACAAGUACGAUGCCUAUUAAAAUAGGAUAAAAAGCAUGGAAUUGAAGGACUCUUCGGCUCUUUGAAAAUUUCCAAAAGUAUUUCCAAAAGUAUUUCUCAUUUCUCGUCCGUGUAAUAUCCAUGCGACGUCAAAUUAGCGUCACGAUGCUCGCGUCGCCAAGUCUCGACCUCGUCGGAAAGAUUAGGCGACUCACGGCCGUUCUAGAAAACGAGCGAAUAUCGGGUAAGUCCCGUGCCAAUUGAAAAACGUUUGUACGUAAAAACGCUUGCUCGUCGUGUUUAAGCGGCCGUUUCCUUUUUCGCCGUAAAUAAUCAUUUCUCUGACUCGUGCUUGCGGCUCGAAAUACCAUUUCACGCAUGCACGAUUCGUUACGAAAGAAAACUCUCGAGUGAGAGGAACGUCCGAAACGAUUUUUCGACCAUCGAUAAUGCACAAUGCUCUCGCGUUUGUAAUAAAAGCAAUCGGACACACGUUUUACGUAAAGAGUUGAAUACAAAAUUCUGCGGUUCGAGGAUUUCUCACGGAUUUUACGAGUUGUAACGACAGGUCACACAUUUCUGAAGAAGAGGAUGUUCAAUAGCGUAGAAUGUUUGAGCAGCGUGGUGUUAGGUUAAAAAGAAAAAAAAAAAAAAAAAUCAGUACUCGAGGAAUUGAAAUU